GCGGCGUGCUUAACACAUGCAAGUCGAACGGUGACGGGGAGCUUGCUCCCCUGAUCAGUGGCGCACGGGUGCGUAACGCGUGGGAAUCUGCCCUUGGGUUCGGGAUAACAGUUGGAAACGACUGCUAAUACCGGAUGAUGUCUUCGGACCAAAGAUUUAUCGCCCAGGGAUGAGCCCGCGUCGGAUUAGCUAGUUGGUGAGGUAAAGGCUCACCAAGGCGACGAUCCGUAGCUGGUCUGAGAGGAUGAGCAGCCACACUGGGACUGAGACACGGCCCAGACUCCUACGGGAGGCAGCAGUGGGGAAUACUGGACAAUGGGCGAAAGCCUGAUCCAGCGAUGCCGCGUGAGUGAUGAAGGCCUUAGGGUUGUAAAGCUCUUUUACCCGGGAUGAUAAUGACAGUACCGGGAGAAUAAGCCCCGGCUAACUCCGUGCCAGCCGCCGCAGUAAUAC
rnacentral:rRNA from 1 species